rnacentral:rRNA from 1 species
GACGAACGCUGGCGGCGUGCUUAACACAUGCAAGUCGAACGGAAAGGCCCUGCUUUUGUGGGGUGCUCGAGUGGCGAACGGGUGAGUAACACGUGAGUAACCUGCCCUUGACUUUGGGAUAACUUCAGGAAACUGGGGCUAAUACCGGAUAGGAGCUCCUGCUGCAUGGUGGGGGUUGGAAAGUUUCGGCGGUUGGGGAUGGACUCGCGGCUUAUCAGCUUGUUGGUGGGGUAGUGGCUUACCAAGGCUUUGACGGGUAGCCGGCCUGAGAGGGUGACCGGCCACAUUGGGACUGAGAUACGGCCCAGACUCCUACGGGAGGCAGCAGUGGGGAAUAUUGCACAAUGGGCGGAAGCCUGAUGCAGCAACGCCGCGUGCGGGAUGACGGCCUUCGGGUUGUAAACCGCUUUCGCCUGUGACGAAGCGUGAGUGACGGUAAUGGGUAAAGAAGCACCGGCUAACUACGUGCCAGCAGCCGCGGUGAUACGUAGGGUGCGAGCGUUGUCCGGAUUUAUUGGGCGUAAAGGGCUCGUAGGUGGUUGAUCGCGUCGGAAGUGUAAUCUUGGGGCUUAACCCUGAGCGUGCUUUCGAUACGGGUUGACUUGAGGAAGGUAGGGGAGAAUGGAAUUCCUGGUGGAGCGGUGGAAUGCGCAGAUAUCAGGAGGAACACCAGUGGCGAAGGCGGUUCUCUGGGCCUUUCCUGACGCUGAGGAGCGAAAGCGUGGGGAGCGAACAGGCUUAGAUACCCUGGUAGUCCACGCUGUAAACGGUGGGUACUAGGUGUGGGGUCCAUUCCACGGGUUCCGUGCCGUAGCUAACGCUUUAAGUACCCCGCCUGGGGAGUACGGCCGCAAGGCUAAAACUCAAAGGAAUUGACGGGGCCCCGCACAAGCGGCGGAGCAUGCGGAUUAAUUCGAUGCAACGCGUAGAACCUUACCUGGGUUUGACAUGGAUCGGGAGUGCUCAGAGAUGGGUGUGCCUCUUUUGGGGUCGGUUCACAGGUGGUGCAUGCCUGUCGUCAGCUCGUGUCGUGAGAUGUUGGGUUAAGUCCCGCAACGAGCGCAACCCUUGUUCACUGUUGCCAGCACGUUAUGGUGGGGACUCAGUGGAGACCGCCGGGGUCAACUCGGAGGAAGGUGGGGAUGACGUCAAGUCAUCAUGCCCCUUAUGUCCAGGGCUUCACGCAUGCUACAAUGGCUGGUACAGAGAGUGGCGAGCCUGUGAGGGUGAGCGAAUCUCGGAAAGCCGGUCUCAGUUCGGAUUGGGGUCUGCAACUCGACCUCAUGAAGUCGGAGUCGCUAGUAGUCGCAGAUCAGCAACGCUGCGGUGAAUACGUUCCCGGGGCU